UCCUACGGGAGGCAGCAGUGGGGAAUAUUGGACAAUGGGGGCAACCCUGAUCCAGCCAUGCCGCGUGUGUGAAGAAGGCCCUCGGGUUGUAAAGCACUUUCAGCGAGGAAGAACGCCUAGCGGUUAAUACCCGUUAGGAAAGACAUCACUCGCAGAAGAAGCACCGGCUAACUCCGUGCCAGCAGCCGCGGUAAUACGGAGGGUGCAAGCGUUAAUCGGAAUUACUGGGCGUAAAGCGCGCGUAGGUGGCUUGAUAAGCCGGUUGUGAAAGCCCCGGGCUCAACCUGGGAACGGCAUCCGGAACUGUCAAGCUAGAGUGCAGGAGAGGAAGGUAGAAUUCCCGGUGUAGCGGUGAAAUGCGUAGAGAUCGGGAGGAAUACCAGUGGCGAAGGCGGCCUUCUGGACUGACACUGACACUGAGGUGCGAAAGCGUGGGUAGCAAACAGGAUUAGAUACCCUGGUAUUCCACCCCCUUAA
rnacentral:rRNA from 1 species